AGAGCACUUUCAGUAAGAGAGCAGUGGCACGUUAGCAAAUGGAAGGGAGAAAAAGACAGCAGCAAACGUGGACAGGUUUGCGGGCUUUGUGGCAGGGAAGUGAGCGCGUUGCCUCUGAUGACUUUCAUUUCUCUCAGUUACACUGAGGUGAGGCCAACUGCUCUGUGUGUGGAAGCCAGAGAAGAAAGCAGCACAGAACAGAUGCAAACCAAGGAGGCUGGAAGAUAAGAGCAGAGCCAUCAGGACACGAGCCCCUCGCGGGUAUGAAACAGGAGUCGUGGGAGCAAAUUAAGCUUCCUGUGUGCAGCAUGGAUCUAAAGCUGGUGGAUGCAGGGGGGUGAACAAGACAACAUCUUCACUUCCUGCAUGCUGAUGGCAGAAGUGAGACAUCAGCGAAGAAACAUCACGAUCACCAAAUUACGAUGAACACCAUGGAGGAAACAAAGGACACUGUGACACCAAGGAAGGAAGGGAGGUUACUUUUCAUAGUGGCUGUAAAUAGAACUGAAGGCUGAAAAACAGCUGUUAAAAUGGCUUGUUUGUUUGAAGAUGAAUGAGAGUACACAAUAAAAGGUAAUUCUCCCUCCCAUCCCCAAUGCCAGCUUCCCUGUUUCUCUCCCCAGAAGCAGCCAUGGUUCAUCACAUCCAUUUCCAGAGGUAUCCUAGGAGCAAGCUGUAUGAGGAACCGGGGAAAGAGGAGCAUGUGCAAAGGCCCUGGGGUGGAAAGGGCCUGCUGUGCUCUGAGCUGCAGCAGAGCUUCUCAAGCCUUAAUUUGCAUUUGAAUCACCCAGGGAUCUUGCUGAAAUCCUGAUUCCUGAUUCAGUAGGUCUGGAGAGGGCUUGAGAUUUCUAACAAGCUCCAGGUAAUGCUGAGGUGCCUGAUCCAGAUCUCACUUAGAGUAUUAAAUAAAGUCCUAGGGGAUCGUUAGAGAUCAAUCCAGCC
ensembl:lncRNA LINC02611 long intergenic non-protein coding RNA 2611